rnacentral:rRNA from 1 species
UACAGAGGUCUCAAGCGUUGUUCGGAAUCACUGGGCGUAAAGGGUGCGUAGGUGGCGUGGUAAGUCAGAUGUGAAAGCCCGGGGCUCAACCUCGGAAUUGCAUCCGAUACUACCAUGCUAGAGUACUGAAGAGGUGACUAGAAUUCUCGGUGUAGCAGUGAAAUGCGUAGAUAUCGAGAGGAAUACCAACGGCGAAGGCAGGUCACUGGGCAGUUACUGACACUGAGGCACGAAGGCCAGGGGAGCAAAACGGG